CUCCAAAAAACAAAACAAGUAUUUUAUUAUUUUUUUCUUGACCUGCCAAGCAAGCGCACCUAACAUGGCAAAGGUCCGAUGACCAAGGGGAUUCGAUACAUGCCCUUGGCUAUGCCCCGAUCUCUUUUACAUCUUUUAGCAACCUCACGACUCUCCCCUCAAUC